rnacentral:rRNA from 1 species
GAUGAACGCUGGCGGCGUGCCUAAUACAUGCAAGUCGAGCGAACAGACGAGGAGCUUGCUCCUCUGACGUUAGCGGCGGACGGGUGAGUAACACGUGGAUAACCUACCUAUAAGACUGGGAUAACUUCGGGAAACCGGAGCUAAUACCGGAUAAUAUAUUGAACCGCAUGGUUCAAUAGUGAAAGACGGUUUUGCUGUCACUUAUAGAUGGAUCCGCGCCGCAUUAGCUAGUUGGUAAGGUAACGGCUUACCAAGGCAACGAUGCGUAGCCGACCUGAGAGGGGGAUCGGCCACCCUGGACCUGAGACACGGUCCAGACUCCUACGGGAGGCAGCAGUAGGGAAUCUUCCGCAAUGGGCGAAAGCCUGACGGAGCAACGCCGCGUGAGUGAUGAAGGUCUUCGGAUCGUAAAACUCUGUUAUUAGGGAAGAACAAAUGUGUAAGUAACUAUGCACGUCUUGACGGUACCUAAUCAGAAAGCCACGGCUAACUACGU